AUGACUGUAUUGAUGUGUUAAGACGUGCAGAUGAAAUUAAUUCUUUUCUUGUUUUUUUUUUCCCUUUUACAUUGUUAAUUAAUAGAAAACGAUAGCAAUUCAUGCUCUAAAAUAUGUCAUUUUAUAUAUAUAUUUGUUUUAUUCCUGAUAGACAGCACCACAGAUAUUCGUGAUAGACUGUAUUUUAUUUAUUUUAUGUCACGCGUUCAAGACCACAGGCAAGUAAUAAUAACCUAGUUACCACGAAGCCUAACGUACUGACGUCUUUAUUUUUGUCCCCAUGUUCCAUUCAAAUUAGCUCUGAUUGAGUGUUUAGUCACCUCUGAAUUAUAUGGUAUAUACACACACAGAAAGAGAGAGAGAGAGAAUCCUCCAAAUCCCUUGUUAAAGGUUCUACUCUAGAUCGACCACGGCUGAGGUCGCCACGUCCGACUCACUAACUGACUCAAUCAGAGCUGCAGCCUGUGGUCAAUUCAUCGAUCGGUAAAUUAUAGUUUUAUUAGCCAAGGCAAACACUCAGUGGCUCCAGCUUUUUAAAAGCAGAGAUUCGAUGCCUUUCUCCUCCUGUAUUUCACGUUUGACCAAAACCAUUAAGACAGGAUAGGAGGUUUUUUUUAUGUACUUAAACGACCUCAGGUCUUAUUAUCACUGCAACAGUUGUAGUAACCCCUCGCAGACACUUGGACAACCUUAGCCCUGCCUGGUGUUUUCUGCUUAGUCAUAAAGGUGUAACAUGCAAGAAAAACACUUUAAUUCUUCCUAAAGAAACAUUUCAAUCCUCCCUUUCCUAUAAAAGGUGCAAAAGGCCAAAAGUCAGAGAAAAGAUUUUAGACAACAGCAAACAGCAGCUGUUAAAACCCUCUGCUGCCUCCAUCAUUCACUUUAAAGGUGUUACCGGAUUUUUUUCGUGUUUAAAAACAAACCGACCACAAAAGGCAGCAGGAGACAGUAUCCAGUAUCACUGGAGCUAAAAUCACCGAUCUGUAGUUUGGUGUAGGGUUUAUAAUAGGAGGAGAAAUAUGUAAUGUUUUUUUUAUUUUAAAAGCAGUUUAGGCUCAGUGUAUUCAUUAUUUUUUUGGGGGUAUUUUUUUGGGUGUGCUCUCAGACAAUGGUGUGUUUCCGUGUCUAGAGAGAUGGGUGUGAGAACGGAACCGGAAUAACUUCAACUCCUGUGAACUGUUGUAAGACAGAGGGACGAAGCGUGAAUAAUUCACCUGAGCGUGAUCGUGUCUGACUGCAGAGCGCCGUUUCAUUCACAAUUCAUUUGAAGAGGCUCAGACAUUAGGAAGGGAGAGUCGACGCGCACACGCACCUACACACACACACGCUGAAAACGGCAGUCUGUACACACCCAAUUCUAAUCAGGCAUGAGCACAUCGUCAGCAUCAGGACCUCUUCACGGAUGAUGAAGUUACAGCUCAGUGAGUAUCUCUCUCUCUCUCACACACACACACACACAUACACACAUAGACAGAAGUGACAUGCCAUUGUUUUCCCCCCUUACCUCU